GACCAAUGAGGUGCUCGCCUAAUUCCGGG
rnacentral:piRNA from 1 species